UACGGGAGUGGCAAGCGUUAUCCGGAAUUAUUGGGCGUAAAGCGUCCGCAGGCGGUCUUUUAAGUCUGCUGUUAAAGCGUGGAGCUUAACUCCAUUUCGGCAGUGGAAACUGGAAGACUAGAGUGUGGUAGGGGCAGAGGGAAUUCCCGGUGUAGCGGUGAAAUGCGUAGAUAUCGGGAAGAACACCAGUGGCGAAGGCGCUCUGCUGGGCCAUAACUGACGCUCAUGGACGAAAGCCAGGGGAGCGAAAGGGAUUAGAUACCCCUGUAGUCCUGGCCGUAAACGAUGAACACUAGGUGUCGGGGGAAUCGACCCCCUCGGUGUCGUAGCCAACGCGUUAAGUGUUCCGCCUGGGGAGUACGCACGCAAGUGUGAAACUCAAAGGAAUUGACGGGGGCCCGCACAAGCGGUGGAGUAUGUGGUUUAAUUCGAUGCAACGCGAAGAACCUUACCAGGGUUUGACAUCCUGCGAAUCCCUUGGAAACGAGGGAGUGCCUUCGGGAACGCAGUGACAGGUGGUGCAUGGCUGUCGUCAGCUCGUGUCGUGAGAUGUUGGGUUAAGUCCCGCAACGAGCGCAACCCACGUCGUUAGUUGCCAGCAUUCAGUUGGGCACUCUAGCGAGACCGCCGGUGAUAAACCGGAGGAAGGUGUGGAUGACGUCAAGUCAUCAUGCCCCUUACAUCCUGGGCUACACACGUACUACAAUGCUACGGACAAAGGGCAGCAAACUCGCGAGAGCUAGCAAAUCCCAUAAACCGUGGCUCAGUUCAGAUUGCAGGCUGCAACUCGCCUGCAUGAAGGAGGAAUCGCUAGUAAUCGCAGGUCAGCAUACUGCGGUGAAUACGUUCCCGGGCCU
rnacentral:rRNA from 1 species